GCGGCUUUAGCUCACUUGGGAGAGCGCCAGACUGAAGUCCACUUCAGAUCAUUAACUUGAAAAAAAGUUUAUCUGGAGGCACUGUGUUCGAUCCACAGAAGCCGCA